UCGCAACUCUGUCACCGGAUCAGUUCCAAGGCCUGUCCAAAUUGAGAGACCUGGCUGUUUAUGAAAACAAUAUUCAGUACCUGCCGCGUGGAGUUUUUAAAGGCUUAACAAACCUGCAGUCUAUGAGCUUUUAUUUCAACAAAAUCCGCACAGUGAGCAACGAGCAAUUCAAAGACAUCGCGCAAAGUAUUCGAUUCC